rnacentral:pre_miRNA from 1 species
UAAAGUUUACUAGAGACUUGCAUUGUUACAAAUAUAAAGUUUACUAGAGUAACAAUGCAAAUCUCUAGUAAACUUUA